rnacentral:rRNA from 1 species
GACGUAGGGCGCGAGCGUUGUCCGGAUUUAUUGGGCGUAAAGAGCUCGUAGGCGGCUUGUCGCGUCGACUGUGAAAUCCCCCGGCUCAACUGCGGGUCUGCAGUCGAUACGGGCAGGCUAGAGUUCGGUAGGGGAGACUGGAAUUCCUGGUGUAGCGGUGAAAUGCGCAGAUAUCAGGAGGAACACCGGUGGCGAAGGCGGGUCUCUGGGCCGAUACUGACGCUGAGGAGCGAAAGCGUGGGGAGCGAACAGG